UUUAAGUGCAGUCGACUUCACAUGAAGUUGAUAGUUGAGAUUAAAAACUUGUCAAAUUAUUUAAUGACUUUCAGCUAUCAAUUUCACAUGAAAUUAACUGCACAUGAAUUACUUUUGUAAUAAUAAGAGAACAUGUUGUAAUAAUAAGGGUUUAUAGUGAUACCCACAUGUAACAGCAAAUUACUUUGCUGCUAUUACCUAAAGUAAAUAAUACAACUAAGAAUAAAUUUUCAGUAUCUAAAGUCUAAACUGAGAAAAAUUUAUGGA